rnacentral:rRNA from 1 species
GAUAAACGCUGGCGGCGUGCCUAACACAUGCAAGUCGAACGAUCCCGCAAGGGAGAGUGGCGGAAGGGUGAGUAACACGUGGGAAUCUACCUCCUCGCAGGGAACAACCUCUCGAAAGAGAGGCUAAUACCCAAAAGGGUCAGAAAUGAUCAGAGUCGAAAGGCGUGAGGAGGGGAGCCCGCGGUCCAUCAGCUAGUUGGUGAGGUAACGGCUUACCAAGGCUACGACGGGUAGGGGAUCUGAGAGGAUGUCCCCCACACUGGAACUGAAACACGGUCCAGACGCCUACGGGUGGCAGCAGUGAGGAAUAUUGGACAAUGGGCGAAAGCCCGAUCCAGCAACGCCGCGUGGAGGAUGAAAGGCCUUCGGGUCGUAAACUUCUUUAGAGGGAGACGAGAAAGGCGGUAUCCCUAGAAUAAGCGAC